GAGAUAAAGGAUAGCUAUCUUUGAGAUAAGCUUUAUUGAGGUCGAUGAAGUCGAUGCACAUACGUCACUUUUCAUUUGCCUUCUUGAUCAGCACAACAUUAGCUAGCCAGUCUAGAUACAUAACUUCCCUGAUAAAAUUGGUCUUGAGCAGCUUGUCCACCUCCUCAGCUAUGACCUUUUGACGUUUUGGGAUAAAACUUCGCUUCUUUUGCUUCAUUGGAUGAU
rnacentral:lncRNA from 1 species